GCCGCCGCGGUAAUACGUAGGGGGCAAGCGUUAUCCGGAAUUAUUGGGCGUAAAGAGUGCGUAGGUGGUUACCUAAGCAGGGGGUGAAAGGCAGUGGCUCAACCAUUGUUAGCCCCCUGAACUGGGCUACUUGAGUGCAGGAGAGGAAAGCGGAAUUCCUAGUGUAGCGGUGAAAUGCGUAGAUAUUAGGAGGAACACCAGUGGCGAAGGCGGCUUUCUGGACUGUAACUGACACUGAGGCACGAAAGUGUGGGGAGCAAACAGGAUUAGAUACCCC
rnacentral:rRNA from 1 species